rnacentral:rRNA from 1 species
GACAGAGGCCCCAAGCGUUAGGCGGAAUCACUGGGCUUAAAGCGUGUGUAGGCGGACGCCUAAGUGUCUUGUGAAAUCCCACGGCUCACCCGUGGAACUGCUGGGCAUACUGGGCGUCUUGGGCCAACUAGGGGCAGCCGGAACAAGCGGUGGAGCGGUGAAAAUGCGUAGAUAUCGCUUGGAACGCCGAAGGUGAAAACAGGCUGCUGGGGUUGUGCCGACGCUGAGACACGAAAGCCAGGGGGAGCAAACGGG